rnacentral:rRNA from 1 species
AACGAACGCUGGCGGCAUGCCUAACACAUGCAAGUCGAACGAGACCUUCGGGUCUAGUGGCGCACGUGUGCGUAACGCGUGGGAACCUGCGCUUAGGUUCGGCAUAACUCCCCGAAAGGGGUUCUAAAAUCGGAUAAUGUGUAUGUACUAAAGAUAUAUCGCCUUUGGAUGGGCCUGCGUUUGAUUAGCUAGUUGGUAGGGUAAAAGUUUAACAAGGCGAAGAUUCAUAGAUGGGUAGAGAGGAUGAUUAGUCACAAUGGGAGUGAGACACAGGCAAGUCUCCUUCGAGAUGAAGAAGGGGAGAAUAUCGGGCAUAGGACGUAAGCCUGAACCAGCGCUGCCGCGUAAGUGAUGAAGGACUUAGGGUUGUAAAGCUCUGUUACCUGGGAUGAUAAUGACAGUACCGGGAGAAUAAGCUCCGGCUAACUGCGUG